CAUGAUCUAUACCACUUGAAGUGUUUAGAAAUCAAUUUUCAAAUCUUUUUGACAUCAUUUGCCUAAUGAUCAAAGGAUUUCAAAAUUUGUAAUUUUAAUGGUCAAUAUGAGGCAUUUUCUCGUUUAACGGCGUAAAAAUAUCCAAAUCAAUUGAAUUUUUGUUAGAAAAUUUUUUAAACUAUUUAAAACAAGAUCUAUACUCUUGAUCUUGAUUAUAAGACUCCUAUCAUCAUUUUUUAAAGAAUAUUCAUUUUCAGCCGUUUAUUUUUAUGUCCACUCGAUAGAUAAGAGAACAAUAUCGAAAAUAUAUGAAAUUUGAUUUCUAAACACUUCAAGUGGUAUAGAUCAUAUUCAACAGUGCUGAUCGUCAAUUUGGAAGCUCCAUCAUCGAAAACAAAUGGGUGGAAACGGAGCCCAUUUGCUAUCAAUAGCAUUCUAGCUCAACUCAUAUUAUUAACCCCUUCUGAAUCUAGAAUAUUUUAG
rnacentral:lncRNA from 1 species